AUCAUGGCUCAGAACGAACGCUGGCGGCACGCCUAACACAUGCAAGUCGAGCGCACCUUCGGGUGAGCGGCGGACGGGUUAGUAACGCGUGGGAACAUACCCUUCACUACGGAAUAGCCUCGGGAAACUGAGAGUAAUACCGUAUACGUCCUCCGGGAGAAAGAUUUAUCGGUGAAGGAUUGGCCCGCGUUAGAUUAGAUAGUUGGUGGGGUAACGGCCUACCAAGUCUACGAUCUAUAGCUGGUUUGAGAGGAUGAUCAGCAACACUGGGACUGAGACACGGCCCAGACUCCUACGGGAGGCAGCAGUGGGGAAUCUUAGACAAUGGGCGAAAGCCUGAUCUAGCGAUGCCGCGUGAGUGACGAAGGCCUUAGGGUCGUAAAGCUCUUUCGCCAGGGAUGAUAAUGACAGUACCUGGUAAAGAAACCCCGGCUAACUCCGUGCCAGCAGCCGCGGUAAUACGGAGGGGGUUAG
rnacentral:rRNA from 1 species